AAGAAGAAGAAGAAGAAAAAGAAAGAGGAAUUCUGCGUUAGCUGAAAUAGAUCAUCAUCAUCAUCAAUUCAUAGUCCGUUGGGAAGAUUAAUGUAAAGGAUGGAUUCUCAAAUUGAGUCUUCACAGAAAGUUGAUUCAGUUUUGAGUUCAGAGCCAAAACCUGCAGAAAGUGAUAUGGAAGCUCGGGUGCAAGCAAUGUGGGAGCAAAUGAAUAAAGGGUUGGGUAAUAAGCCUGUCAAACCCAUUUCAAAUAAACGUAUUAGUUCAACCAUGAAUACUAAUUCACAGAAAUUCAACGAUAAUUGGAUGACAUAUCUGGGUCUCGCACCAAAGAAGGCAGCAUACCCUGGACAAGGUGACCAGCAGAAUGGAGGAAGUGGUUUGCAGGAUGGUACCAGCAAAGACGACAAGGUUGCUGUCAGGUGGGACCAAAUGAAUAAGGAAGUAUCUAAUAAGACACUUUCAAGCAAGUCUUCAGAUAGAACUUCACAAAAUAAGUCUGAUGUGAGUACUAUCUCUUUUCUCAGUAUGCAGUGAAGCGAUCCAGCCAUGUCAUUUAUUAUAAAUUUGAUACCAUGCUCUUAUUUCAUAGAAUUGGAUGGCUUAUCUGGGUCUGGCAACAAAGAAAUCAGAAAGCUCUAUACCAGAUGCAUCACAAAAGGGAUCUAGUGUUUUGCAAAAUGCCACUAGUGAUGAGGCCAAAAAACUUGCUGCUGCUGCUCUCUCAGCAGUUAAGGAUGCUGCAGCCGCUGCUUCAGGCAGGGGUAAAGUUGAGAUCUCAGAGGUACGGGAUUUUGCAGGUCAGGAAAUUGAAGUUAAGAAGCUUGUUGAUGCAGAGUCAAAAGAGGCUGCUGAAAAGGCCAGAAGUCUUCCACCUUCUGCAGUGGAUGCUGUUCUAGAACAAAUUAAGAAGAAACCUAAGCUCAGUGUGCUUGACAAGACGAAAAAGGAUUGGGGAGAAUUUAAGGAAGAGAAUAAGGGGCUAGAAGAGGAGUUAGAUGCUUAUAAGAAAAGCUCAAACCAGUAUCUGGACAAGGUAUCAUUCUUGCAACGAGCUGAUUACAGAGAAUUUGAGAGGGAGAGAGAUGCACGGCUAGCUCUACAGGCCAGGAGGAGGACGGAUAUGCGAGAAGAUGAUCUUUAAAUUCAUAAAUUCUAUCUUGCUUAGCUAUCGUGAGCAUGUGGAAAUCAAGGGAUUAACCUGGAAUUUUUUUACAAUGUAGUGAAGGCCUUCUCAUAGGGGACCAUUUGUCAAUGAGCUGUAUGAAUUUGUGAUGCAGUAGAAGUCCUGUGAUACAUUGUUAUACUUUUGAAGGCCAAUUUUUUACCAAAUGGUUUUGCCUCUUAUUUCUUGGAGCUAAUGGUAACAGUUGACACGAUUAUGGAAACAUAAUCUUCUUUAUUUUUCUUUUUCAACAUACAGUGCAUGUUGGAUUUAUCUAAGUUUGUGGGCGGUCAAUGUGAGACACGGACUA
rnacentral:misc_RNA from 1 species